rnacentral:lncRNA from 1 species
CUGCUGAUUGAUUUCGUUCUGCUGUGAAUGAGUGAGCGAGCAGAGUGGUGUGGGUGGUUUGUUUGCUCAAGAGGCGGGUGGAGAGGCUGUAGAGAGAGUUCCCCACAUGCAAACUAGGAAGAACGGACGCCACGUGUGAGUGCGAGGCCUGUGCCCGAGAGGGGUGAGAGAAUGGAAUGGAAUGAAUGGCAAAGUACACGACCCGUUACGCACGCACACACACACACACACGCUUGACAUUUCUCUCCAUCUGCACUGUAAAGUAUGUUCAUACAUACAUAAAAGUUCUCUUUACUUUACAUAAUUUGCUUAAGUUAACUUUUUUUUGUGUUUUCUUUGUGUUUUCUGCAUGUUUUCUUCUUAUUUUGUAAGUAAAAUAGUUGAAAAUCAAUUUGACGUGUGCUGAAUUCUGUUUUCGAUUUAAAAACUCGUUUCACAAACGAAAGUAGAGCCAAGGAAGAGGUAGCGGAACGAGAUGACACAAACAAGGGUGGGCCAUUGUUGCCGCAGGAGCGAAGACGUGGCGCGGGGGCAUACAAAAUGGAAAUCAACUCGAAUUGUGUGUGCCCCGCCAUGGGUUGGGGAGGGUAUGGGUUGCCUGGACUCUCGACCAUGUCAAAGGUAAAG